GAUGAACGCUGGCGGCGUGCCUAAUACAUGCAAGUAGAACGCUGAAGCUUGGUGCUUGCACCGAGCGGAUGAGUUGCGAACGGGUGAGUAACGCGUAGGUAACCUGCCUGGAGCGGGGGAUAACUAUUGGAAACGAUAGCUAAUACCGCAUGACAACAGUUAUUGCAUGAUAACUGUUUAAAAGGGGCAAUUGCUCCACUACCAGAUGGACCUGCGUUGUAUUAGCUAGUUGGUGAGGUAACGGCUCACCAAGGCGACGAUACAUAGCCGACCUGAGAGGGUGAUCGGCCACACUGGGACUGAGACACGGCCCAGACUCCUACGGGAGGCAGCAGUAGGGAAUCUUCGGCAAUGGACGGAAGUCUGACCGAGCAACGCCGCGUGAGUGAAGAAGGUUUUCGGAUCGUAAAGCUCUGUUGUAAGAGAAGAACGAGUGUGAGAGUGGAAAGUUCACACUG
rnacentral:rRNA from 1 species